GAUCAUGGCUCAGGAUGAACGCUAGCUACAGGCUUAACACAUGCAAGUCGAGGGGAAACGAUAUUGGAAGCUUGCUUCCGAUAGGCGUCGACCGGCGCACGGGUGAGUAACGCGUAUCAAACCUGCCCAUCACUUGGGGAUAACCUUGCGAAAGUAAGACUAAUACCCAAUGAUAUCUCUAGAAGACAUCUGAAAGAGAUUAAAGAUUUAUCGGUGAUGGAUGGGGAUGCGUCUGAUUAGCUUGUUGGCGGGGUAACGGCCCACCAAGGCGACGAUCAGUAGGGUUCUGAGAGGAAGGUCCCCACAUUGGAACUGAGACACGGUCCAAACUCCUACGGGAGGCAGCAGUGAGGAAUAUUGGUCAAUGGGCGAGAGCCUGAACCAGCCAAGUAGCGUGCAGGAUGACGGCCUAUGGGUUGUAAACUGCUUUUAUAAGGGAAUAAAGUGAGUCUCGUGAGACUUUUGCAUGUACCUUAUGAAUAAGGACCGGCUAAUUCCGUG
rnacentral:rRNA from 1 species